GACGAACGCUGGCGGCGUGCUUAACACAUGCAAGUCGAACGGAAAGGCCCUGCUUUUGUGGGGUGCUCAAGUGGCGAACGGGUGAGUAACACGUGAGUAACCUGCCCUUGACUUUGGGAUAACUUCAGGAAACUGGGGCUAAUACCGGAUAGGAGCUCCUGCUGCAUGGUGGGGGGUGGAAAGUUUCGGCGGGUGGGGGUGGACUCGCGGCUUGUCAGCUUGUUUGUGGGGUAGUGGCUUACCAAGGCUUUGACGGGUAGCCGGCCUGAGAGGGUGACCGGCCACAUUGGGACUGAGAUACGGCCCAGACUCCUACGGGAGGCAGCAGUGGGGAAUAUUGCACAAUGGGCGGAAGCCUGAUGCAGCAACGCCGCGUGCGGGAUGACGGCCUUCGGGUUGUAAACCGCUUUCGCCUGUGACGAAGCGUGAGUGACGGUAAUGGGUAAAGAAGCACCGGCUAACUACGUGCCGGCAGCCGCAGUAA
rnacentral:rRNA from 1 species